AGCUUGCUCCCUGAUGUUAGCGGCGGACGGGUGAGUAACACGUGGGUAACCUGCCUGUAAGACUGGGAUAACUCCGGGAAACCGGGGCUAAUACCGGAUGGUUGUCUGAACCGCAUGGUUCAGACAUAAAAGGUGGCUUCGGCUACCACUUACAGAUGGACCCGCGGCGCAUUAGCUAGUUGGUGAGGUAACGGCUCACCAAGGCGACGAUGCGUAGCCGACCUGAGAGGGUGAUCGGCCACACUGGGACUGAGACACGGCCCAGACUCCUACGGGAGGCAGCAGUAGGGAAUCUUCCGCAAUGGACGAAAGUCUGACGGAGCAACGCCGCGUGAGUGAUGAAGGUUUUCGGAUCGUAAAGCUCUGUUGUUAGGGAAGAACAAGUGCCGUUCAAAUAGGGCGGCACCUUGACGGUACCUAACCAGAAAGCCACGGCUAACUACGUGCCAGCAGCCGCGGUAAUACGUAGGUGGCAAGCGUUGUCCGGAAUUAUUGGGCGUAAAGGGCUCGCAGGCGGUUUCUUAAGUCUGAUGUGAAAGCCCCCGGCUCACCCGGGGAGGGUCAUUGGAAACUGGGGAACUUGAGUGCAGAAGAGGAGAGUGGAAUUCCACGUGUAGCGGUGAAAUGCGUAGAGAUGUGGAGGAACACCGUGGGCGAAGGCGACUCUCUGGUCUGUAACUGACGCUGAGGAGCGAAAGCGUGGGGAGCGAACAGGAUUAGAUACCCUGGUAGUCCACGCCGAAAACGAUGAGGGUAAGUGGGUAAGGGGGUUUCCGCCCCUUAGUGCUGCAGCUAACGCAUUAAGCACUCCGCCUGGGGGAGUACGGUCGCAAGACUGAAACUCAAGGGAAAUUGACGGGGGCCCGCACAA
rnacentral:rRNA from 1 species